rnacentral:rRNA from 1 species
GGAGGUGGGGGAGUAACGUAGACGAAAGUUACGCUAAUACCGCAUACGAUCUACGGAUAGAAAGUGGGGGAUCGCAAGACCUCAUGCUCGUGGAGCGGCCGAUAUCUGAUUAGCUAGUUGGGUAGGGGUAAAAGCCUACCAAGGCAUCGAUCAGUAGCUGGUCUGAGAGGACGACCAGCCACACUGGAACUGAGACACGGUCCAGACUCCUACGGGAGGCAGCAGUGGGGGAAUUUUGGACAAUGGGCGAAAGCCUGAUCCAGCAAUGCCGCGUGAGUGAAGAAGGCCUUCGGGUUGUAAAGCUCUUUGUCAGGGAAGAAACGGUGAGGGGCUAAUAUCCCUUGCUAAUGACGGUACCUGAAGAAUAAGCACCGGGCUAACUACGUGCCCAGCAGCCGCGGGUAAAUA